GCUCUGACACUCUACCAUGAGGAAAAAGCCCAAACAUGACAUGAACCCAUUUUAAAAAAUACAUUGUUAAGUAAUACUAUUACAUGGAAAAUAGUCUGCAAUGUAGUGUUACUAUUUAGAUCCCAUGAUCUAUGUUUGAAUCAAGCAGUUUUAUGUACAGGUUGAACAUUUAUAAUCUAAAAAUCUAAAAUCUGAUAUAACUUUUGAGCCCCAGAUGAACACACAUAAUCAUUGGGUUUACUAACAAAAAAAAAAUAUUCUACUUCACCAGACUGCUUUUGAUUUUAAAAGAUUGAGAAACAUUAUCAUUCAUAUUAAGAAAUAUACAUAGCCAUUAAAAUAAAUUAAAUUUAUUUAUAUACAAAUUGAUAAUAAUAUAAAAGUCUUUAGAUAAAAUCCACUGAAUUUAUAUUAUUUUAUUUAUGAAUAAUAAGGUCCUAAUCUGUUCUCUCAACCCAUUUACUUAUAUAGUCUUAAAUUUCUAAUUUUAAUUUAAACUGUACAAUCAUCAGACCUUACACAAAUUUUCUUCAAUUUAUUUUUAAGUAUUGCAUGGUGCUGAUUUUUUUGUACAUGGAACACCCUAAGUAAUGUCCAAUAGUUUGUUUUACAGAAUAUAGAUCUUAUGUAGAAUAUUGAUCUUGAGUAAUGUAACCUUGCUCCUUGCUUUUCUUGUAAGUGCUUAGCAUGUUCCAUGUACAUGAGCAAGUCAUCUGUGAAUUUAGAAUUUUAAGUCGGGUAUAUAAUCUUUGUCUUUUAUUUCCUUUUCUUGUCUUAUUGCACUGGUUGUAACUGUGGGUUAAAACCAGUGUUGUGUGGAAGAACUAAGUGAACACCUUUAUCUUUGCUUAUUCCUAGUCAAAGGGGCAAAGCACUUAAUUUUUCCCCAUAGAGUGUGAUGUUAGCCAUAGUGGUCCCCCCCACCCAAGGCCGAUUCUUUAUUGGGAAAAGAAAGUUCUCUAUUUCUAAUUAAAGGUGUUUUCCCACAAAUGAAUGCAGAAUUUUGUUAAAUGAUUUUUCUUCAUCUACUAAAAUCGCCACCUAACAUCCAUUAUUCAGUUAGAAUAGACUCACACUGACUUUACAUGUACAAUAGCUGCAUUUCUCAGAUAAGACCUAUGUGCUCAUGAUGGGUUAUCUUGUUUAUUUCUUUUGCUGAAACUUAGUCAAAGGUUUUUGUGUCUUGAUGAGGAUGGUCAGCUGUUGUUUUCUUGCAGUGUAUUUAUCUGGUUUUGAUAACAGGAUGAUGGUUAUCUUAUAAACAUUACUUGAAAAGUUUUGAUUUUUGAUGCUUUGUGGCUACUAACAUUAAUGAUCAUCUCUUAAUUCCAUAUUGGUAAUUUGUCUCUCAAGAAAUAUAUUCCUUUACUCAUUAUUAUUGUUUUAAAUGUCUACUACUACUACUACUUCUACUUCUACUACUACUACUACUACUACUACUACUACUACUACUACUACUACUACUACUACUACUACUAUUUCUUUAACUUAUGGACUAUCAAGUUCCCUGAAGUGUGGUCUUUCUUUUUUAUUUUGUGUAAGUGUAUUUUUGUGUGUGUACCACAGAGAUCCUACUGUCUCUGCCUCCCCAACACUGGAUCAUCACUACAUAAUGGCUUUUAUAUGUGUACUGGAGACCAACCAUAGGUCUUCACACAUGCCUGGCAAGCAAUUUAUCAACUGAAUCGUCCACCAGCCCCUGCUUUUGUGUAUGUGUGACAAAGCUACACAUAGCCUGGCUAACCUAGAACUUGUUCUGUAGCUAAGGAUGACCUUGAAUUCCUGACUGUCCUCCUCCCCCACCUCCAGCAUAAUGGAAUUAAGGGUGUGUGGCAUGACAGCAGGCCUGUAGCUUUUGCUGUUUCUAAGAUGUAGCUUUUGACUUGAUUGGUUUCUUUUGUUAUUUUCUCCCUUGUGCCUUCUUUUGUUGGUUUGUUGUUGUUGUUUUUAUUCAAUAUUCUUACAAUAGAAACGUAGCUCAUUAGGCCAAGAAAGAUGGUGUGUGCCUUUAAUCCCAACACUUGGGAAGCAGGGCAAGUAGAUCUCUGUGAGUUUAUAGUGGAUUUAUAUAAACAACAUAGCGAUGCUUUCAUAAUCAAGUAUGAUUAUUUCUGCCUAUUACUUGAACCAAUUUAUAAAUUUAGUUUUAUAUCCAUCUUCCUCUUUGUUUUCUAUUUAUCUCAUCUGUUCAUUGUCUCUCCCUUCCUCCUUCCCUCCUUCCCUCCCUCCCAUUUCCUUCCUUCCUUCCAAGACAUGUUUCUAACACAUAGUCCUGGGUGUCCUGAAGCUGACUGUGUAGACCAGGCUAGCCUCAAACUCACAGAGCUCUGCCUCCCUCUACCUCCUUUGAUCCUCAUUGCCUGUAAUCAGGAACUGGCAUUAAAGGAAUGCACUAUCACACCUGGCUUUAUCCCCCCCACUCCUUUAAUUACAUGAUUUGGGAGAUGUUGUUUGAUUUGUUUGCAGUGUGGUACUAGACAUGGAACCUAGCUAGGACCUUGUACAUGCUAAUGCAAAAGAAAGGAACAAAGAACAGAUGAGAUAAGUAGAAAAUAAACAGGAAGAUGAGAAGAACACUGAAUAUUUUUUCAGUAUUCCAUUUUAUCUCCUUACUUGCUUACUAGCUAUACUUUCAUUUGAUUUUUUUUAUAGUUGAUUUGGUUUUUACAGCAAAUUUUUAUUAUAUUUUAUUUGUGUGUGUGUGUUUUUAUGAAGGUAUGUACAUUUCACAGUGCAUGCACAUAUGGAAACCAGGGACAAAUUAGAAAAGUCUAUUCUCUCCUUAUACCAUGUAUGUCCCAGGAACUGAAUUCAAGUCAUCAGGCUUGGUGGCAAGUGCCUUUACUCUUGGAGCCAUCUUACUGGCCCCAGCAUGAAUUUUUAAUUUAGAGUUUACUUUCAAAUAUUGUUACUUUACUUCACAUGGCCCUUCCAGCAGUGUGCUUGCAUUUCUCCCUUUCCUUUCUAUUAUUACAGCCACAUGUUGCUUUUUUACAUUGUAAAAUAAAAACGUUUUGAUGCAUUGUUAUUGGCUUUGCUUUAAAUGGUUAGUGAUACUUUCAUUUUAAAAUAUUUGCAACUUACUUACUUAACGUAAAAAUAAUAAAUCCAAUCUAUCCUGUAAAUAACACUUUUUGAUGAAAAAGAAUUAUUUUCUAAGACUUCAAUUCCAUGAGAAGAAAUGCUAUUGUAAGACUUCCACCCAUCUCUUUAUUCUAUGGCUUAGUACGUAAUAGCUCACUUACCUGCUUCUUCAUUCAAAGUAUGUUGACAUGGUUUGACUUCAAGUAUAUGACAAAAGCAGAACUUCACAGGUAUGAAAAGGGUGCGAUGUUGGCUAGAAAGGGAAGGAAUGUUUUUAAUAACCUUUUCUGAUCAUUAUAUGCAUUCCUUGAGACUACACCAAAACAAAACUCUACAAAUGGUAAUGUCUUUAAUGUAAAUGCAGCAUGGGGCCUGAAAGCAUCUCAGGGAAUUUUUACAUACAAUUAGGUUAAAUUUGUAUUUUGAAAUGGAUAUUUGACACCCCCCCCCUUCACAUAGUAUUUGGAAAAUACCAGUUCACUGGGUUAGGAAAGCAUUCAAAAUGUUCAUACAUUUUAUUCAGCAUAAAAACAUUGAUAUCAUCACUGUAUUCACUGGGGGAAACUUAAGUUUUGAAAUGCUGUCAAGCUCACAAUGCCAGAAUCAAGUUUUCAGAAAUCAUAGUUUUGCUUAUAACCACAAAUUUGCUAUCAUUGACAACAAACACAUCAGUUGUUUACC
rnacentral:lncRNA from 1 species